rnacentral:lncRNA from 1 species
UGAAAGGGUCUUUAAAAGCAUCCUCCAGACAUCACUGAUGUACCUAAAGCUUGUGAAGAAUCCUCCGUCUGACUCUAUCUGACUCUACAGAGUUUACAAGAAAACAUGAAGGUGGCUAUCAUUGCACUGUGUCUCAUUGGACUGUGCUGUGCUCUUCCAGUUGAUGAUGAGCAUGAACGAGACAAGCGAUCAUCGAGCGGAGAGCGCUACCGAGGAGGAUCGUAUUAUCCUAUGUACUACCCCAACAACGGUUUCAACAACGACAACAACAACCUUCUGAACCUGCUGCUGCCCCUGCUACUGGCUCAACUCCCCGCUGCUGCUGCCCCGGCUCCGGCUCCGGCCCCGGCUGGAAAAUAAUUCACUCAGUGCAAUACAAUUACAUUAAAACAGAGCAUGCAUGCAAUUCAUAUGUUUUAAGCUAUUUCUAUUUCUGUGCAUUCUUUAAAUAAACCUAUGGAUCUGAAAAAAAAAG